ACACCUAAAAACGGCCAGUGAAGGUGAUAUAAAACACUUGACAUCUUAUUGGGGACCCUUUGAUUUAUGACAAAAUGUGGAAUUGCAAGUUGUGUAGUUUUUCUACUGCGAUAAAAGUCAUGUUGCUGAAACAUUACCGGCUUAACCAUGGCCAGUACUCCACAAUUUCACCUUUACCCUGUCUCUACACCACCUGCAUGUGUACAUUUAGUACAUUUAAUUCAUUAAAGGUACAUAUGUCAAGAAUACAUACUGCUACACAAAGAAAAGACCAUUCAAAUCCAGCUUUUAAUAAUUAUGGAUUUUGCUGCCCUGUGUGUAACUUUAAGCAGCCAUUUAUUGAAAGGCAAAUGUUUAUCCAUCUGAGGGGGCAUUUAAAACUGAAAGAAAUUGUUCCAUGUCCUUUCAAGGGCUGCAAUUUUAAAACCAAUGUAUACUCAACAUUCAAUGUGCACAAAUGCCGAGAACACCAAAGUUCAGCACAUUAUGAUGAAGGCAUUGUGCAAAGUGUCCUAAAUGUAGGCCAAAAGGAUGUUAUGCAGCUUGAUUCAGUAGAACCAUUAGAUGAAAGUGAAGUGGCAUCCACUAGUGAAAUGAGUACAACUGACGGUUUAGAAGAGCAGUUGCAGCACAAUCUAGCUGGCUUUUUCUUGAAAAUGCAGAGCAUUCUCCAUGUGUCCCAGAGAGCAACACAGGAGAUCAUUGAGUAGGGCUGGGGGUAAACGAUUAUUUUUAAAACGAUUAUUCUGACGAUUAUUUUAUCGAAUAGUCGACUAUUCUAAUGACUAUUUAGAAAAUUAAUCUAAUGAUUAUUUUUCUAUUGCACAAUUAACAAAAACCAGAAAAUCUCAAAUAAAUUCCUCAAAAAAAUUGAUAAAUUCUUACUGUAAGAGAAUAAACACUACAGGCCUUCCAUUUUGUAUAACACUGCUUUUAUUGUGUUGCGGUUGGUUAUGUUCUGGUGACGUGUAGAACUUGGGAGUGCAGGCUGCUGCCUGAGAGGUGGUAGAAGAUGGAGUGUCUCCAUGCUGCUUUGUUUUGGUCACUUAUGUGCGUGAGGCGAGUGGUCUUACGGGUUAAACCAAACUCAGGUGGUAUUUUACACUAAACCGAAAACCCACAACACUCUAAAUGUAAUAAAAGGGAGAUCUACACCACAAAAAAGAUGAACUCUAAACCAAAACGUAACAGCUUAUCCCAACGCAAGAAGCUGUUAGCGAAGAUGCUAACAGUAGCUUUACCAACGUUAAGUUCAAGUUACCAAGUUUAAAUAAACCAAAAACACCCAGCAGCAAACAGACCAGCACGGAGGAGAGACUGCUACCACCAAAACAGCUCUCCUCAUGUCUGAAAGAAGCUCCUUAAUGAAGGGAGAAGCGCUCCCGGUGAUUUUCUACAUCUGCGAUAGACACGAAGCAGCGCAUCUGACCCCGGAAGUUGUUGUCCGUUGCCGGGAGACGAAGGGGCAAAACAGGAAAAUAAUCUAGUAGUGGACGGACGUUGUUCCGGGUCUUCGGUAUUUGGCGGAGAUUUUAGUGAAGGCGGAGAAGAGGGCGAACUAGAGGAAGAACGGGCAGAUUCCUCCUCUAUUUACAAACUCCUGGGGAUGCAACAAGUGGGCGCGGUGCGUCGACUUCCGGAUCUGACGUCGACAAAUUUUUAGAAUCGAGCCGUCGACUUCGUCGAGUCUUCGCUACAGCCCUAUCAUUGAGCACAUUGAUCACCUGUUUUUGUUAACAGAACCUCUCAUUAAAACAUCAGUAGUUGAUAUACUGAAGAAGCAUAACUGUCUAUAUACUGACAAACUGGUCGAUGACAUUUGUCAGGCAGUUUCUGAUAGUAAUGUUUUACAUAAAUGUAUCACAUCUGGUGGACCACUGUCAACAGCAAAGAUGAGAAAAUCUUACUAUGAAGCAAACUUUCCGUAUGUCAAGCCUGUGGAGUAUUUAAUUGAAUCAUCAAAGCACACAUACAUGUAUGUGUCAAUUCUUACAUCUUUGCAAAUGUUGUUGAAAAAAACCAAAUUCCUUGAAAAAGUUCAACAAACACCCACUCAGAUACCUGGACAUUUCAUGUCAUUUUGUGAUGGAUCCUACUACCAGGAAAAUGUUCUACUCUCACAAGAGGGAACAAAACUUUCGAUAAUGCUUUAUGUGGAUGAUUUUGAAAUUGCAAACCCACUCGGUACUUCAAAGAAAAUACAUAAAGUUUUUGCAGUUUAUUGGACACUGGCAAACUUUCCAGUUAAAUCCCGUUCUGCUCUCCACUGCACUCAGCUUGCUCUCCUGUGCAACUCUAAUGAUGUGCGCCUGUUUGGGUUUAAGAAAAUGAUGUCACCACUCUUAAAUGAUCUGAAAACUCUUGAAGAAGUAGGCAUCUACAUUGAUACCCUUGGUGAAUGUCUUAAAGGCACUGUCUACUGUGUUGUGGCAGAUAACCUUGCCGCACAUGGGCUUGCUGGGUUCAAUGAGAGCUUCAGGUCUACACAUUUCUGCAGGUUUUGUCAUGCCACACAAAUAGAAAUGCAGACAAAAAAUGCAGUUACAGGGGAUUAUGUGCUGAGAACAAAGGAUCUUCAUGACAAUCUUUUACCAGAGCUUCAGAGCGAUGGCAGUGAGGGAAAUUGUGAUGUCAAAAACAGUUGUGUUCUUUCUGACCAUCUGUCAUUCUUCCAUCCUGUCACAGGCUUCCCACCUGACCUCCUGCACGACCUGUUUGAAGGCGUUGUUCCAGUGGAGAUAGCUCAUUGCUUAAAAGGUUUGAUUUCCAGUAAAUAUUUUACAUUAGAAGACUUAAAUCGAGCAAUAUUGCACUUUCCAUAUCAACAUUCUGACAAAGUUGAUCGCCCUCAUCCAAUACCCACUAAUUUUGCCAGUCGAGGGACCAUUGGUGGGAAUGCUCAUGAAAAUCAUGCCCUGCUUAUAAUGUUGCCUCUUCUCAUUGGCUCAAAAGUCCCAGAAAGAGACACGUUUUGGGAAGUGCUAAUGGAGUUAAAGGAUGUCGUUCAGCUUGCCAUGUCUCAGAUUUUUAAUGAAGAGACCAUUCAGUACUUGGCUUGUAAAAUAUUGGACCACCGGCAACUUUUCCAAGAAGUGUUUCCUAAUGUUCGAUUAAGGCCAAAGCAUCAUUACAUCGAGCAUUACCCACACUUGAUAAAAUGCUUUGGUCCCUUGGUCCACCUUUGGACAAUGAGAUUUGAGGGAAAGCAUAAGGUUUUCAAAAAAAUUAUUCAUGACACUCACAACUACAAAAAUGUGUUAAAAACUUUGGCAGAGCGACAUCAAAGUCAGAUGGCAUUUUAUUUGUCAUCCUCAAAGUUUUUCAAACCACAUGUUCAGACAUCCAAAAUGGAGUCUAUGUACAUCUCAUCACUACCUGCAGAUACACAAUCAUUUAUCUCAGGUAUUGUUGACAGUGACACAGUUUAUGGAACAAAAAAUAUCUCAAUUGAUGGCACAAGCUUUGCAAUUGGCAUGUUUGUAUGUACUGGUGCUUAUGCAGCCUUGCCAGAGUUCAAAGAGAUUCGAAACAUCCUACUCAUCAGCGACAAAAUGCAUUUUCUCUUAAAAGACUACGACACUUUGUAUGUUGAGCACUUGAGGUCAUACGAACUAGUCGAGCAUAUACCGGAGAGUCAUAGUGUCAAAUCUGUGUGCCAGCUGUCUGACCACCUGCCACAUUUUGCUUAUAAGAUUGCAAAUGAACUAAUUCUAACAACAAAACAUUUCAUUCCAGUGUCUGACUAAAGAAACAGAACUGAAAUAUCAGCGGAUCUCCCCAGCCCUUCUGCCAGUGUACAGGACCUACAACUUCAGAUGGAGGCAACAGAGAGACUGAAGCUAAGGGUCAUCCUUGAUAAUGAUAAUGCUGAAAGACUUAUUCUGCCAUCUCGCCCAAGCAGUGUACAGGCCCUCAUAGAUGAAAUCAAAACUAGGCUAAAGUUGACUUUUGACUUUAGGCUUCAGUUUGAAGAUCCAGAUUUUGAUCAUGCAUUGUGUAAUUUGGUUGAAAUGGAACACCUCCCAAGCACAGCAUCGGUUAAAAUAAUCAGAUUAGUGGAGCUGGACUUGAUUUCAACCAGCACUAGUGAGACAAGUCUUCUGAACGAUAGCACUGAUGCCAUAGAUUCACCAGAGCGUAUUAGUCGGUGGCCAGAGGUUUUUAUUGUUCCAAAAUUUUCUUAUGAGGUGGAACAUGUGCUAAAGGAAGGUAAUGCAGCAUUUGAAAAAGAUGGGAAACUAAUUAGACUUCCUAGAGAUCAAAAACACAACAUACUCGAGGUAAUGGGGGAAGAAAAUUUUUAAACUGAAGGCAUAUCCUAGUAGCACACAGAUUGGAAAGGCUGCAAAGGCUUUAGUUGAAAAGCAUCCCUGUCUGAAGGAGAACAAUUCUGACACUGGUUGGGAAGGAUGGAAGAAUAGUUUGAGACACAAAAUAGGAAACCAAAGAAAGAAGUUGGCCAAAGCCGGCAUCAGAGAUGUUGCUGUAAACUCUGGAAAACGCAGCAGAACAAACCCAGAAGGAGCUGCACCAAGAGCCAAUAGUAAAA